AGUAAAGUGCAAUGACACUGUUAUUAUCGGAAUUCCCCUCAAGGGGGCCCCCUCUCAGUACUAGUCGCUGACAACAGACAGCCAGCCAACCAACCAUGUGAUCUCUGCUGCCGGCAAAAUACAAAACUUCGGCAGUCAUCUUGAAGCCCAUUUAUGCUUCUGGAAGCCAGAAAAGAAAGAAGAGAAAGGAAGAGGAGUAUAAGAAAAAACAAGUUAGUGGUGCUUUGCUUAAAUUUCUCAGCGGACAGGCUCUUCCUAAAGAUACAUCCACUGAUGAAGCUACACCAUCAACGUCAUCCUCAACAUCAACAGAUGCAUCACUUCUCAGUGCUGAUGUUUCCUCUAUAGCACAAGGUACCACAAGCUCUAUAAUUAUAGCUGAUAUCAUGCCAAGCCCAAAGUUUAAACUGAUAAGUGUGUGCUGUCAUAUUGUUAGAAAAAAAAAUUAAACUGUAAACCUUAAACUGUAUGGCUA